rnacentral:rRNA from 1 species
GAUGAACGCUGGCGGCGUGCCUAAUACAUGCAAGUCGAGCGAACAGACGAGGAGCUUGCUCCUCUGACGUUAGCGGCGGACGGGUGAGUAACACGUGGAUAACCUACCUAUAAGACUGGGAUAACUUCGGGAAACCGGAGCUAAUACCGGAUAAUAUAUUGAACCGCAUGGUUCAAUAGUGAAAGACGGUUUUGUUGUCACUUAUAGAUGGAUCCGCGCCGCAUUAGCUAGUUGGUAAGGUAACGGCUUACCAAGGCGACGAUGCGUAGCCGACCUGAGAGGGUGAUCGGCCACACUGGAACUGAGACACGGUCCAGACUCCUACGGGAGGCAGCAGUAGGGAAUCUUCCGCAAUGGGCGAAAGCUUGACGGAGCAACGCCGCGUGAGUGAUGAAGGUCUUCGGAUCGUAAAACUCUGUUAUUAGGGAAGAACAAAUGUGUAAGUAACUAUGCACGUCUUGACGGUACCUAAUCAGAAAGCCACGGCUAACUACGUG